CUUCUUUCAGCGAGAUACGGAAAAAUGUCCCAUAACUUCCAUCAUCCUAACCACCACCAUGCCGAAAGCUUCCGCGAGGAGCACUAUGGCUCCUACAACCCCCACCGUCCAACUCAUCACAACCACAACCGGGCCAACUUCCGUGAGGAGGACUGCUACUACGCCACCAGGGUGGAGGCCCCAGCUCACUACCAGGCGACGGAGUGCUGUGAGGAAACGGUGUAUGGCCGCCCCAGCUAUGGGAAGUAUUAUGGGGAUGUUGUCGUCGAUGAUUGCGUUGAGCGCAAGCAUCACGGCCGCUUCAACUGGCCCGGGACUUUCUAAGGAGAGAGGAAGACCUCUCUU
rnacentral:misc_RNA from 1 species